ensembl:lincRNA 1700009J07Rik uncharacterized LOC115032160
GGCAGAGCAGAAGGCCCACAGGGACUCCGGCUGCAGUGCUGACCGAGAUGGCCCCUCCCUAAAGGAGCCUGUCUCUGCAUACUUCUAGCUCCUAGAACCACUGGCAGCCUCUGACUUAUGAUCUCACCCCUCGUUCCAAGGCCGGCGCUCUGGCUGUAUCUCUUUUCCUCCAGAGCCUCUGAGUCUCUCUUCCCAACCUGCUCCACAAGACCAGUUAUCCAUGACAACCUCCAGUCCUUUUCUUGGCAAUGACCACAGUCGGUAAGGGCCGCAAGAUCUCAGUCGGCCAUGACCACAAGACCACGGUCACCAAGUGCCACAGGAUCUCGCUUGGCAAUGACCACAGGACCAUAGUCACCAAUGACCUCAGGACUACGGUUGGCAAUGACCACAGGAACAUGGUCACCAAGGGCCACACGACCUCGGUCGGCAAUGACCACAGGACCAUUGUCACUGACGGCCUCAGGGCCACAGUUGGCAAUGACUACAUAGUCAUUGUUCCCCGAUGACUACAGGACCACAGUUGGCAAUGGCUACAGGAUCACUGUCUACAAUGACAACAGUCAACAAUGACCACAAAACCACAGUCAACAAUGACCACAGAACCACAAUCAGUAGUGGAAACCUGAAGUCCUUUUCUGCUAUGUAAAGAAGCAAGCAUGGAUUCUAGCAUUGAGGCCCAGCUCCCAAGUGACAGUGUCCAGGCCAGCCAUCAGAGAUGCAGAUUCCAGCCCAAGCUGCCAGAAGCCAGCCACCACUAAGCAAGCAUAUCGCUUCUUCUGAACUUCAACACCCUUUUCUGAAGCAGACCAACCAACCACUGUAAGAACCAACUAAAAUGCCCUUGAAAGCAAGCUGGUCCUGUCAUGUGGAGGCUGAGGUCCCCUCCCAGUGGUCCAUUUCCUGAGUAAAGAUAGUGUCCUAAGGGCUGCUGCUAGCCCAAUGCUAGA